AUUGAGUCUAAGUCAGAUGGGGAGGAAUGAUAGAUAAUAGCAGUCUGCACUAAAAAGCUAUCAUUUUCUCUUGUUUGGCUAGAGAAGACAAGCUAGAGUAUUAGUACUGAACCACUGCUCAAACCAGAUCGAAUCCAAACGAAGUCAUAUCAUGUCUUAUGAACGAUUCCUGUGCCUGCUUGUUGUUGCUUCAUUCAUUGCAACAUCAGCAGCGUUUCCAAGGGAUGCUCCAAGGAUGGAUGAUGAGAGCUUGAUCCAACCAAGAGGGGCACCCUGCUCCUGUCGUGGAAAGUCUGGUAUAUACUGGUUUUCUGGCAAAUGUCCCCCGGGAUACGGCUACACCACAUAUUGUAGCUACCUUAUUGGACUUUGCUGUGUAAAAUAAUUGUUACCUUUGCCGGGCUUAAUCUCUAUUCAGUAGCCUGAAAAUGUCCCGAGAUAUUAACUGUCAAUCAACGUAAAGUUAAAGUUGGUGAAAGCCAUGUAAUAUUAACGUUUAACUCGUACAAUUAAAACCAUGUUAUGCUCUGAAAA